CAAUAGUGUAUAUUAACGUUGUUGCAGUUAAAAGGCUCGUAGUCGAACUUGUGGCAUCGACGACUGAACUCAGUCCUCUACGGAUUGUCUGUUUGUGUCGUCAUGCCAUCUUUCCGGAGCGCACCUCUGCUCUUGAUUGAGUGGUUGUGUUAUCCGGAUCCUUUACUGUGAGUAAAUCAGGGUGUUUAAGGCAGGCAUGAUAGCUUGAAUGUGUUAGCAUGGAAUAAUAAGAUAGGACUUCUGUUCUAUUUUGUUGGCUUCUAGAACUGAAGUAAUGAUUGAAAGGGAUAGUUGGGGGUGCUAGUAUUUAACGGUCAGCGGUGAAAUGCUCGGACCCGUUAAAGACUAACUUAUGCGAAAGCAUUCACCAAGGAUAUUUNCUUUGA
rnacentral:rRNA from 1 species